UGCGUAGGGUGCAAGCGUUGUCCGGAAUUAUUGGGCGUAAAGAGCUCGUAGGCGGUGUGUCGCGUCGGCCGUGAAAACCUGCAGCUUAACUGUGGGCUUGCGGUCGAUACGGGCAUCACUGGAGUUCGGCAGGGGAGACUGGAAUUCCUGGUGUAGCGGUGAAAUGCGCAGAUAUCAGGAGGAACACCGGUGGCGAAGGCGGGUCUCUGGGCCGAUACUGACGCUGAGGAGCGAAAGCGUGGGGAGCGAACAGG
rnacentral:rRNA from 1 species